rnacentral:rRNA from 1 species
AAUCAACGCUGGCGGCGUGCCUCAGACAUGCAAGUCGAACGAGAACCUCCCUUCGGGGAGGGGACAGUGGCGCACGGGUGAGUAACACGUGGGUAAUUUACCUUUGGGUGGGGAACAACAGCCGGAAACGGCUGCUAAUACCGCAUAAUGCAGCGGCUCGACAUCGAGACAGUUGUUAAAGCGGGGGAUCGCAAGACCUCGCGCCUGAAGAGAAGCCUGCGGCGGAUUAGCAGUUGGUAGGGUAAUGGCCUACCAAGGCGACGAUCUGUAACCGGCCUGAGAGGGCGGUCGGUCACACUGACACUGACAUACGGGUCAGACUCCUACGGGAGGCAGCAGUCGGGAA